CCGGAGAUCGGUGUCCUACCCUAAACCGGCAGAAUCGCUCAUUUGUUUUCCAAACAGUUUGCUUCUUAUUUUAUGGAUUCCUGUUUGAAAGUAGAGAAUAACUUGUGCUUAUCGGAUGACCUAGGGUUGUGCCUUGGUAGCAGAUUCAUUGUAGUUUUGGAGAGCGUGAUGUGGUCCAGUGGCGGAUCCAAGAACACAUUUAAGAGUUGUCAAAAAUAAUCAAAGGUGUCAUAAAGGAGAUUUGAACUGUUGUUGGGGGGUGUCAAG
rnacentral:lncRNA from 1 species